rnacentral:rRNA from 1 species
GAUGAACGCUGGCGGCGUGCUUAACACAUGCAAGUCGAACGAAGCACUUUAUUUGAUUUCCUUCGGGACUGAUUAUUUUGUGACUGAGUGGCGGACGGGUGAGUAACGCGUGGGUAACCUGCCUUGUACAGGGGGAUCACAGUUGGAAACGGCUGCUAAUACCGCAUAAGCGCCCAGCAUCGCAUGAUGCAGUGUGAAAAACUCCGGUGGUAUAAGAUGGACCCGCGUUGGAUUAGCUAGUUGGUGAGGUAACGGCCCACCAAGGCGACGAUCCAUAGCCGACCUGAUAGGGGGACCGGCCACAUUGGGACUGAGACACGGCCCAAACUCCUACGGGAGGCAGCAGUGGGGAAUAUUGCAAAAUGGGCGAAAGCCUGAUGCAGCGACGCCGCGUGAGCGAAGAAGUAUUUCGGUAUGUAAAGCUCUAUCAGCAGGGAAGAUAAUGACGUUACCUGACGAAGAAGCACCGGCUAAAUACGUG